UACAGAGGUCUCAAGCGUUGUUCGGAUUCAUUGGGCGUAAAGAGCUCGUAGGCGGCUAUUCAAGUCGAACGUGAAAUCUCGGAGCUCAACUCCGAGCCUGCGUUCGAUACUGGGUAGCUAGAGUCUGGUAGGGGGAUCUGGAAUUCCUGGUGUAGCAGUGGAAUGCGCAGAUAUCAGGAAGAACACCCGUGGCUAAGGCGGCUCUCUAGUACGGUACUGACGCUGAGACGCGAAAGCGUGGGGAGCGAACAGG
rnacentral:rRNA from 1 species